GGGAAUGCUGCUCUAAUUGGUGGUAAAUCUCAUCAAAGGCUAAAUAGUGGUGGGAGACCGAUAGCGAACAAGUACCGUGAGGGAAAGAUGGAAAGAACUUUGAAAAGAGAGUGAAAAGCACUUGAAACCGUCACGGGGGAAGCGGAUUGCGUGAGUGAUGGUGUCGCUUGUUCAGCGCUUUAUUGCGUGCAUUCUGGCGGCGCCGUGCCGGCGUGGCUGGCUGGACUGUGAUUUUGACAGUCUCGGCUGGUGAGGGCUCCCUCGUAUGAGGUGAGGACGCGGGCAAAAUGACGCAAUACGACCCGUCUUGAAACACGGACCAAGGAGUCUAGCACGGCUGCGAGUCGAAGAGUGAUUAAACUCAAGGGCGCAGUGAAAGCGAAAUUAUAAGCAAAUUGGGGAGGCGUUGCGUUUUUAACAAAAUGUCCUACCUCGAGCAUUUGUGCUGGGACCCGAAAGAUGGUGAACUAUGCCGGAGUAGGGCAAAGCCAGAGGAAACUCUGGUGGAGGCUCGUAGCGAUGCUGACGUGCAAAUCGCUCGUCGAACUUGGGUAUAGGGGCGAAAGACUAAUCGAACCAUCUAGUAGCUGGUUCCCUCCGAAGUUUCUCUCAGGAUAGCGGGCCGACACGCGUUUGUUGUUUUGUGCGGUAAAGCGAAUGAUUAGUGCAUUUGGGGUACGAAGUACUUCGGGCGAUUCUCAAACUUUAAAUGCGCAAGGGGGUGGCUGCUUAAUUGAGCCUACUCUUUGAAAAACGUCGGCCCUGUGGGCCACUUUUGGUAAGC
rnacentral:rRNA from 1 species